CUGGGCAUAGGCAGUAAUAUAAGGCAAGAUGGCUAAGGAAGAAGGUGGGCAGCGGAGCCGGUGAAGGAAGCCGCAGGCGCGGAUGGAGGCGAAGAGAUCAGGAGCAGUAAAGGAACACUCUCUUCCCCAGUCAGCUGGGAUACGGAUUUUGUAAGGCCUAGGGACUUUGUCUUUGGAGGUCCUGUCUCCAUAAGGCUUCCCAAAACAAAGAAUGUUCAGAUUGGACUGGCCUUAAAAUGCAGUAUUUAAAACAGCAACAUGUCUGACAGAUCCGAGAAAUGAAAUACGUCCAUUUCUUUUGGCAAGGAGCAGAAGGCAACAUAAAGCAGCUGCAAGAAUUAAUUCAUGGAGAUAGUUGACAUUUUCGAGCUGACUGCCUCUUAGAGAAAAUGAUGUCAUUCUCCAGCAGCCUAAUGACAGUCAUCAGCCUGAGAGGACACAUGCUAAUAAGACUAUCACCAGCAAAGAAUUUUCUGAGCAAAUGUGUACUGGAGACCUUCUGAGGAACCCACUAGAGCCUGCACAUCCCCUUUUCCUAGCAAGGUCAACUGGAAAACAGUGUUCUUUCCAAGAUAACGUGCAACUUUCCUUUGGAAUGAUCAGCAGAAUGUCAAAUAAGGAAAGGACAUGUAGAGUUCAUGGGAGGAGACAUUACUUCUGGCUGCAGAAUUAUGGAGGCUUUAUGGGAGACGCCGUAUAUUUUAUCUGUGCGCCUUGAUCACGUGUCUGACCAUGGACAGAGAAACCAGCCUAAUGAGCCUUCUUUACAGGAAGCCCCAAGCUGUUUUCCAAAGUGGUUGUACCAUUUUACAUUCUCACCAGCAAUGUACCAGGGAUGUUUCAUGAACCUUCUAAUUCUUUCCUACUGUGGAUGUUAGUUGGCAUUUUGUAUUGAAUUUCAACAUUUGAGAAUAAGUCAUGGGUCCAGCUAAUCUGCAUAGACCAAUUUGGAGCAGCAUCCUUAAUGAGUGGUGAACUUUCUCUGUUCUCCAGACAAUAUCAACUCUGCCACUUGAAACCAAGGCUUCUAAUGACAUGAACUGAAGGAAAAGUCUUGAUUUCAGAUUUUUGUUUGGCCUGUUUCAUCUCCAUUUGCCGACCCUGGAUUACGCAGAUAGUGCACUGCUUUUAGUAAUCUAGGCCCUUGUGCCAGACCUUGACUGUCAUACUGCAUUAUAACUGAUGGUUCAAAUGCUUCUUUUACAUAAGGAGUAUUUUCUUCCCAGAGAUACCUCUAAGAUAUUCAUGGCUAACUAAAAAUACUCCUGAAUGCUGUUCUCAAGUAGAGUUUCAAGGUCAACAUGAAAAUUGUUAUCACUCUCUUAUGUGACAUAAAAAAAUCUGUUUUAUCUUUGUAACAAUGCUUUCAUUAAAAAAAAAAAAAAGCUUUGCAAUUCCUCUGCUACACUAGUGUUUUCUCAGAUACCAAACAGGCUAUGCCUUGAUGGCAAGAAGAACAAGUUAUGAUUAUUUAUAUGCCAGUGUGCACUUGUU
rnacentral:lncRNA from 1 species